rnacentral:rRNA from 1 species
GACGGAGGAGGCAAGCGUUAUCCGGAAUCAUUGGGCGUAAAGCGUCCGUAGGUGGCCCCUCAAGUCUGCUGUUAAAGCCCAGGGCUCAACCCUGGAGAAGCAGUGGAAACUGGUGGGCUAGAGUGCGGUAGGGGUAGAGGGAAUUCCCGGUGUAGCGGUGAAAUGCGUAGAGAUCGGGAAGAACACCAGUGGCGAAAGCGCUCUGCUGGACCGCAACUGACACUGAGGGACGAAAGCUAGGGGAGCGAAUGGGAUUAGAUACCCCAGUAGUCCUAGCCGUAAACGAUGGACACUAGGUGUUGCGCGUAUCGACCCGUGCAGUGCCGUAGCCAACGCGUUAAGUGUCCCGCCUGGGGAGU